AUGGUAAAAAGAGGGCACCGGUAUUUGAUGAUUUUUAUGGAUCAUGAAGACAGCUACAGUGGUGGUGGAGGACAAGCAUGGAGUGAUGUGGUUGCUACUCCAUCGGCAUAUUUACCUCCUGUUAUCAGUCCUAAGAAUAAAAGCAUUGGUAAUGUUAGUGGUGAAGAGGAAAGCAUAGUUGAUGGUAGUUAUGUUGACGACAACACUCUAUGUGAGGGCAAUGAAUUUGCGAGCAUUGAAGAAGUUGUUAGGUUGAGGCCAAGAGCAAAGCAAGGUUAUAUUGAUGAAGAAGGAUGUGGCAGUGAUAAUGAUAGUGAAGAUAGUGACUAUGUUCCCGAGAUUAUAGAUAGUGAUUAUGAUUUGGAGGAUGGUGACGAGGACUUGGCGCAGGAGCAACUACAUUCUGUUAGUGAUAUGAAAGGGAAGCAAGUGGUUAAAGAUUGUAACUCUGAAGAUGAGAAAUUAGAAGCUCCGGAAUCGGAUGAGGAUGAGAUGAAGUUCAAUUUCAAAUCUUUUACAGCUGAAGAUAUGCAUGAUCCAAAGUUCAUGUGGGGCAACUAUUCUCAUCAAUUGAUUUGCUAA
rnacentral:rRNA from 1 species